ACGGGAGGCAGCAGUGGGGAAUAUUGGGCAAUGGGCGAAAGCCCGACCCAGCAACGCCGCGUGAAGGAAGAAGGCCUUCGGGUUGUAAACUUCUUUUAUCAGGGACGAAGGAAGUGACGGUACCUGAUGAAUAAGCCACGGCUAACUACGUGCCAGCAGCCGCGGUAAUACGUAGGUGGCGAGCGUUAUCCGGAUUUACUGGGUGUAAAGGGCGCGUAGGCGGGGAUGCAAGUCAGAUGUGAAAUCCAUGGGCUCAACUCAUGAACUGCAUUUGAAACUGUAUCUCUUGAGUGUCGGAGAGGUAGACGGAAUUCCUAGUGUAGCGGUGAAAUGCGUAGAUAUUAGGAGGAACACCAGUGGCGAAGGCGGUCUACUGGACGAUAACUGACGCUGAGGCGCGAAAGCGUGGGGAGCAAACAGGAUUAGAUACCCUGGUA
rnacentral:rRNA from 1 species